UACGUAGGGUGCAAGCGUUGUCCGGAAUUAUUGGGCGUAAAGAGCUCGUAGGCGGUUUGUCGCGUCUGCUGUGAAAAUCCAGGGCUUAACCCUGGACCUGCAGUGGGUACGGGCAGACUGGAGUGCGGUAGGGGAGAUCGGAAUUCCUGGUGUAGCGGUGAAAUGCGCAGAUAUCAUGAGGAAGACCAGUGGCGAAGGCGGGUCUCUGGACAGUUCCUGACACUGAGACACGAAGGCCAGGGGAGCAAACGGG
rnacentral:rRNA from 1 species